AUGGCGCAGAGCUGGGCGGACAGAGCCGAGCAGAUGGUGUCUUCUCUGGGGGAAAUGCUGGGGCUGGAGGCCGCGGCGCCUCUGGCCCUGUGGCCGGCCGGAGUGCUGCUUCUGUCGGUCGGCCUGGGGCUGGUCCUCACGCUGCUGCUGCUGGGGCUCCACAGGCCCGGAGCGGCGAGGGAGCAGCGGGGGAGGGCCGAGGACAGCCCGCCGGAGCCGGGCCGAACCGGGAAGCCCGAGGAGCCGCGGAAGAGGAUAAGGAAGAAGGCGGGAGAGAAGAAGCUGCAGAGGAACGGUCUGGCCGUGGAGCCGCAGGAGGAAGUGAAGCCGGUGGAGAUGCAGAGUUCGGACCCGGCUGAACCUAAAGCUGAUAAGGCCAAGAAGAAUAAGAAAAAGCCCAAAACUCCAGCAAAAGAAGCAAAAUCUGCCCCUUCAGAGCGUAAAGAACAGGAUGAAGUCGUUCUUUUAGAUCUAGCACUUCCAUUCUGCAUUGAGUACCUGAAGUUAAUAAGAAGAGAAGAAGUGGGGAAUAAGCUUUUUGUUUUUAUGCUCCGAAGAAAUGGAACAGCUGUUUCAAAAAAAGCAGCUGAAGGCAUAUUUUUAUAAACUUCGUUUUAAUGACUGAGCCAUUUGUAUUUACUGAUUUACACUUUUGUUAUUUUUGUUUUAAUUUAUUUAUUUUAAUAUAUCACAGUCACUACAUGUUUUAAUUCGUCUUGACAUCAUUCUUACCCAUCCUUACGCAGAGUGUUUUUGGAGAAAAUAUUGAAGUAUUGUGAUAUUAUGUUUUGCAGUACUAAAAU
rnacentral:lncRNA from 1 species